CUGAAGUGCAAAAUUCAAAUUCGGAAACCGAUAACAAGAAAAAGCAACAGAACAAGGAACUUAAUUCAAAUGCCAAUUUAAGCCCACUUGCUAGAUUUCUGCUAUCAAGAUGGCAAGGCCAAGUUUCACGGGAUCUCAGCCCAGCUUAAUUGAAAGAUGCUUGUCCUGUGAGUGCAAUAUUUAUUUUGUAGUGUGUUUCCUCUUUUAUGCAUUUAUUCUGAUUGAUGUACAUAUCAUCAUUGUAAGAAAUUAUUUAUUAUGAUUUUUUUUUUUUCGAAUUUUCCAUUUUUGUUGUGUAGUAUCGGCAUCACUAUAAUUAGGGGGUUUGCUAUCAGCACAUUGAAAUUGUAAUACUAUGACCAUUGAGUAUUUGUCAAUAAUUACCCAGCAUGUUGAUAAAUUA